rnacentral:rRNA from 1 species
AGAGUUUGAUUAUGGCUCAGGAUGAACGCUAGCUACAGGCUUAACACAUGCAAGUCGAGGGGCAGCAUGAAACUUAGCUUGCUAAGUUUGAUGGCGACCGGCGCACGGGUGAGUAACACGUAUCCAACCUACCGUUUACUACGGGAUAGUCUUCUGAAAAGGAGAUUAAUACCGUAUGGUAUUCUAAAGUUUCAUGACAUUAGAAUUAAAGGUUUACCGGUAAUCGAUGGGGAUGCGUUCCAUUAGAUAGUAGGCGGGGUAACGGCCCACCUAGUCAGCGAUGGAUAGGGGUUCUGAGAGGAAGGUCCCCCACAUUGGAACUGAGACACGGUUCAAACUCCUACGGGAGGCAGCAGUGGGGAAUAUUGGUCAAUGGGCGAGAGCCUGAACCAGCCAAGUAAGCGUGAAGGAUGACUGCCCUAUGGGUUGUAAACUUCUUUUAUAAAGGAAUAAAGUGGUCCACGUGUGGAUUUUUGUAUGUACUUUAUGAAUAAGGAUCGGCUAACUCCGUGCCAGCAGCGGC